AGCGAACGCUGGCGGCAGGCUUAACACAUGCAAGUCGAGCGGGCAUCCUUGUGGUGUCCGCGGCAGACGGGUGAGUAACGCGUGGGAACGUGCCCUUCGGUUCGGAAUAACUCAGGGAAACUUGAGCUAAUACCGGAUACGCCCUUUUGGGGAAAGGUUUACUGCCGAAGGAUCGGCCCGCGUCUGAUUAGCUAGUUGGUGAGGUUAUGGCUCACCAAGGCGACGAUCAGUAGCUGGUCUGAGAGGAUGAUCAGCCACACUGGGACUGAGACACGGCCCAGACUCCUACGGGAGGCAGCAGUGGGGAAUAUUGGACCAUGGGGGCAACCCUGAUCCAGCCAUGCCGCGUGAGUGAUGACGGCCUUAGGGUUGUAAAGCUCUUUUCUCCGGGACGAUAAUGACGGUACCGGAGGAAUAAGCCCCGGCUAACUUCGUG
rnacentral:rRNA from 1 species